CGAAUAAUGCCUUAGUGAAGGGCUGCUUGCCACCAAUGCUGCCACCUUUCAUCAGUUGCGCACCACAAAUGUCAAGGGCUCUAAACGACAGCAUGAAGAAAAGGAAAGAAAAAACAACAAGUAAGCUUACAGCGACAAUAGGAAGAAUGUGAAUCAAAAGCAAAUUGAUGAUAUGCAGAAAAAAGUGUUAACAGAAAGCAUUUUAACUCCCCGAAGCAAAUGAAGUCACAAUACAUGAGUCAUUCUUGCUUGAAGUAUUUAGUCACAACAUGUUUCAUUCACAAUAGUCAAGGCAGUCUUUUUCACCCCAUCCCUCAGAUUUUAAAAUGCAGAAUCCAAUAUUAGAAUGUGAACCUGAAAAUCACCACACUGCUUAUCUGUCAUUAUCCAAGGCAUCUUCCGAGUUUUAAAACAAAUCCAUUACUUACUGUUAAUUACGGCACCUAGUACUUGAACAGUGAACUCCAGGUUAACAUGAUUGCCUUCUCUUUUCUGUGAGCAGAGAAUUACUACUGCAAGCUUUUUUUUUUCAUCGACCACAUUCAAAGUACUCUUAAAUGAACAUAGCAUUUUGAUGAGCAUUUCAAAUAUUAUGCCAAACAAUUUCUACGUUCUGGGGCGGAAUCCACUGCAAUCAAUAAGACAUGGCAACACGGCCUGCUCUUUCGUAAUAAAAGACGGACCUUCAACGUUAGCAAGAAAAGCCUUCUCAUCUAUUUAUUGAAACACAAUGCAAUUCUAGUUUGAAUUCCGGGCUUCCAUCCAAGCUGAAAAAUGUUUAAAAAGCAAGAAGGAAGAGUGGAAGAAUACA